CGCCGUGCUGCUCCCGAUGGGCGGGGCUUAUCGGUCUGAAAAACGAAAGCUGCUCUGCCAAAGUUUGGUCGAUACUGAGCGCGCCGAUUGCAGCAUGAGUAUUAAUAACACAAAGAAAGCCCAGGUGUGUGUUCUGUCCUCACCUGCCCGCAGGCUUUCUCGGAAGGUUCUGGACUGCGUGUCGGGCCGCCGACGGGAGCCGAACCCAAUCCGUCUGGCCCGGGGCGAGAAACUCGAGCUCCGCUGCGCUGAGAUAGGAAACAAAAGGAAUAAAAGCCAAAUGUCCUGGAAUCUUGACCUCACAUGCAUUCACUUCCUGAACCACAGGCAAACCAUCAUGUCUCUCACUCUCUCUCUCCUUCACACACACACACACACACACACACACACACACACACACACACACACACACACACACACACACACACACACACACGCAUGUGUGCGUGCGACUAUACUCUACACAGCUACACACACGACUAGAAAUGCAUGGCUGCGCCGUGCACAUAAACACACAUCCCCGCACACAAACACACGCAUACACACACUCCAACGGCUCCACGCAGAAACAUAAACACACCCGAGUGUAAGGAUGCCCCGUAGGAGGCUGUGCCCACACUCCGGUAUUUAUGUACAGUAAAAUCCCAGUAAAACCUCUUCCUGGAAAUCUAGUUGGUGGGACACAGGAAGGGGACUGUCGAGCACUGAGAGCCCUCUGUUCCCUA